UCAGAUAAAGCUGUGCUCCAGACAAGUUCAGGCAGACAUCACACUUGUUCAGGCUGGGGCUGGCAGAGCCCUGGUGAUGGUUGGCUGUGAUUGCUGAGCCCUGAGGAAGAUCCCAGGACUUCCAGCAGCACCGCUCCUGGUGGAAGGGGGACCUGCAGACUCUGACAAGCUACUGCUGAGAUUAUCUUCUGGGGACAAACCAGGUUGAACAUCACAGGAGCAAGAACAGAUACAGUCAUAUGAAGCCAGAGAUAUUUAAGAGGAUAACUGAACUCUGGGUCUUUGUACACAGAAGAAAUCCUACUUGUGCCCUGUGCCUCCUCCUGCAUCGAGAAACUCAACUGAGCGGCUCACUGCAGACCUGGAGUAAAAAUAAUGUAUACAGUGCAAUUUGUUUGCCUCUUUGUGUUUUUAAUUACUGCUAAUAACCCCAGUCUUCAAACUAUAUUCUUGUCUUGGAGAACUGUACAUUACGAGAGAUGCACUUAUCAGUACACAGUGCAACUGUGCCCACAGACAACAUAUUUUAAUGACUCAGGUUACCAAUCAUACUAUUCCAAUCAUAAAUCUAUUCAAGAAAGAAUAAAAAUGAAGGAAUGCACAUGCCAAUAAAAAUUAGUAAGUGGUCAGGCAAAAGAAUGAUACUUUAUCUCCCAUUUUGGCCAAUAAAUACAGAUUUUAUUUUUCUGUAACACAUCCAAAAGUUGGAUAAUACACCAUUUUUACCAUUACAACACUUCAUUAAAAAAAAAUAAUAACAAUUCCUCUAACUGUCCUUGACUUUAGGAUUUGAAAAAGCAUUUUUCACAUUAUUUUAUACUUAUCUCUAAUUUUAUAAUAAUUUUAUAAUAAUUUUAUAAUAAAAUUAUACAUAAUUUUAUACUUAUCUCUAAUGCUAGUUAUUCUACUGGCAGUGGUAAAUCACAUCACUCUUAAGAUGGGGAUCAUCUACCACCGCAUAAGUUUGUUCUUUUUUUGCCUACGCUCAUUCAGCAUGAAUGCCACAGGAAAAGAGGAUAUCUGUCCUUAAUUAAAUACAUGACUAUUUAUUUCUUCUGCAGUCGGUAUUUUCUUUAUGGUCUCUCACAUAAAGAUGUGGGAAACGGUUAACAUUCAGACUUGCAAGGCAAAACAAAACACAAUACGACUGCUGCCAAGUAUGGCAUUCUUCUGUGUGUCACAGCCAGUGAACUUAAUCACGGUUCAUUAACCCUAAAUCCAGUUUCUCAUUCACGUACCCAAUAGUGUUGUAUCAAAUCAUCUCUCAUAACUUCAGCUUGAUGUUCUUAUAUCAAUGUGGGCUUUUUUUUUUUUAUCAACAUAGCCUAUAGUCCUUGCAGUUUUCAUUAUAUUUAUAAAUGGAAAUACAGCACGUUGUAAUUAAUCAUUUCAAAAGCUGGUUUUGAAGAGAAAUAAACUGGGGUUACCAAAUCUCUUCCCUGAGGAUAGAGACAGUCUGAUUAA